rnacentral:rRNA from 1 species
GAUGAACGCUGGCGGCGUGCCUAAUACAUGCAAGUCGAGCGAACAGACGAGGAGCUUACUCCUCUGACGUUAGCGGCGGACGGGUGAGUAACACGUGGAUAACCUACCUAUAAGACUGGGAUAACUUCGGGAAACCGGAGCUAAUACCGGAUAACAUGUUGAACCGCAUGGUUCAACAGUGAAAGACGGUCUUGCUGUUACUUAUAGAUGGAUCCGCGUCGCAUUAGCUAGUUGGUAAGGUAACGGCUUACCAAGGCAACGAUGCGUAGCCGACCUGAGAGGGUGAUCGGCCACACUGGAACUGAGACACGGUCCAGACUCCUACGGGAGGCAGCAGUAGGGAAUCUUCCGCAAUGGGCGAAAGCCUGACGGAGCAACGCCGCGUGAGUGAAGAAGGCCUUCGGAUCGUAAAACUCUGUUAUUAGGGAAGAACAAAUGUGUAAGUAACUAUGCACGUCUUGACGGUACCUAAUCAGAAAGCCACGGCUAACUACGUG